UAGGGCGCAAGCGUUGUCCGGAAUUAUUGGGCGUAAAGGGCUCGUAGGCGGUUUGUCGCGUCGGGAGUGAAAACACCGGGCUUAACUCGGUGCUUGCUUUCGAUACGGGCAGACUAGAGGCAUGCAGGGGAGAACGGAAUUCCUGGUGUAGCGGUGAAAUGCGCAGAUAUCAGGAGGAACACCGGUGGCGAAGGCGGUUCUCUGGGCAUGUCCUGACGCUGAGGAGCGAAAGUGUGGGGAGCGAACAGG
rnacentral:rRNA from 1 species